rnacentral:SRP_RNA from 1 species
GCCGGGCACAGUGGCACGUGCCUGUAGUCCCAGCUACUCAGGAGGCUGAGGCUGGAGGGUCGCUUGAGCCCAGGAGUUCUGGGCUGCAGUGCGCUAUGCCGAUCGGAUGUCCGCACUAAGUUCGGCAUCGAUAUGGUGACCUCCUGGGAGCGGGGGACCACCAGGUUGCCUAAGGAGGGGUGAACCGGCCCAGGUCAGAAAUGGAGCAGGUCAAAAUGCCCGUCAUGAUCAGUAGUGGGAUUACACCUGUGAAUAGUCACUGUACUCCAGCCUGGGCAACAUAGCGAGACCCAGUCUUU